rnacentral:rRNA from 1 species
AUUGAACGCUGGCGGCAGGCCUAACACAUGCAAGUAGAACGAGUGGCGGACGGGUGAGUAAUGUCUGGGAAACUGCCUGAUGGAGGGGGAUAACUACUGGAAACGGUAGCUAAUACCGCAUACCCUCGGAUGUGCCCAGAUGGGAUUAGCUAGUAGGGGCGGUAAAGGCGCACCUAGGCGACGAUCCCUAGCUGGUCUGAGAGGAUGACCAGCAACAGUGGAACGGAGACACGGUCCAGACUCAUACGGGAGGCAGCAGUGGGGAAUAUUGCACAAUGGGAGCAAGCCUGAUGCAGCCAUGCCGCGUGUAUGAAGAAGGCCUUCGGGUUGUAAAGUACUUGCAGCGGGGAGGCGUUACCCGCAGAAGAAGCACCGGCUAACUCCGUGCCAGCAGCCGCGGUAAUUC